rnacentral:rRNA from 1 species
GACGAACGCUGGCGGCGUGCCUAACACAUGCAAGUCGAACGAGGUCAUGCAGUGGCAACACUGCGGACGACCUAGUGGCGAACGGGUGAGUAACACGUGAGGAACUUGCCCCGGAGACUGGGAUAAGCCCCCGAAAGGGGGUCUAAUACCGGAUGUCCUCACCGAGUCGCAUGGCUUGGUGAGGAAAUGGAUUCCGCUCCGGGAGAGCCUCGCGGCCUGUCAGCUUGUUGGUGGGGUAACGGCCCACCAAGGCAUCGACGGGUAGCUGGUCUGAGAGGACGAUCGGCCGCACUGGGACUGAGACACGGCCCAGACUCCGUCGGGAGGCAGCAGUGGGGAAUCUUGCGCAAUGGGCGAAAGCCUGACGCAGCAACGCCGCGUGCGGGAUGAAGGCCCUCGGGUUGUAAACCGCUUUCAGUGGGGACGAACCAAGACGGUACCCACAGAAGAAGGUCCGGCCAACUACGUGCCAGCCGCCACGGUAA